CCAAAGUUUCAUGGACAUUGGUGAAAGCCUUUUUGAGUUAUUGUCAGAAGUGUUGAAAAUCCCCCUUUUUUUAUGAAUAAAGCCCCAUAAAUCCAAAACUUAAAAUCUGAAAUUAAAAAAAAACGAAAGGGAGCUUACGUCAAUAGAUAUAAACAAUUCACUUAAGUUUCAUGGAAGUUGGUGAAAGUGUUUUUGGGUUAUUGUCCGAAGUGUGGACGACGGACGGACAACGGUAUACCAUAAUACGUCCCGUCUAAAAGACGACGGG
rnacentral:lncRNA from 1 species